AGAGUUUGAUCAUGGCUCAGAGCGAACGCUGGCGGCAGGCUUAACACAUGCAAGUCGAGCGGGCGUAGCAAUACGUCAGCGGCAGACGGGUGAGUAACGCGUGGGAACAUACCUUUUGGUUCGGAACAACACAGGGAAACUUGUGCUAAUACCGGAUAAGCCCUUACGGGGAAAGAUUUAUCGCCGAAAGAUUGGCCCGCGUCUGAUUAGCUAGUUGGUGAGGUAAUGGCUCACCAAGGCGACGAUCAGUAGCUGGUCUGAGAGGAUGAUCAGCCACAUUGGGACUGAGACACGGCCCAAACUCCUACGGGAGGCAGCAGUGGGGAAUAUUGGACAAUGGGCGCAAGCCUGAUCCAGCCAUGCCGCGUGAGUGAUGAAGGCCCUAGGGUUGUAAAGCUCUUUUGUGCGGGAAGAUAAUGACGGUACCGCAAGAAUAAGCCCCGGCUAACUUCGUGCCAGCAGCCGCGGUAAUACGAAGGGGGCUAGCGUUGCUCGGAAUCACUGGGCGUAAAGGGUGCGUAGGCGGGUCUUUAAGUCAGGGGUGAAAUCCUGGAGCUCAACUCCAGAACUGCCUUUGAUACUGAAGAUCUUGAGUUCGGGAGAGGUGAGCGGAACUGCGAGUGUAGAGGUGAAAUUCGUAGAUAUUCGCAAGAACACCAGUGGCGAAGGCGGCUCACUGGCCCGAUACUGACGCUGAGGCACGAAAGCGUGGGGAGCAAACAGGAUUAGAUACCCCAGUAGUCC
rnacentral:rRNA from 1 species